GUACUCAAUUCAGCAGCACAUAUACUAAAACUGGAAUGAUACGGAGAAGAUUAGCAUGGCCCCUGUGAAAGGAUGAUACUCAAAGUUUUAAAGCAUUCCAUAUAUAU